CCUACGGGAGGCAGCAGUGGGGAAUAUUGCACAAUGGGCGCAAGCCUGAUGCAGCCAUGCCGCGUGUGUGAAGAAGGCCUUAGGGUUGUAAAGCACUUUCAGCGAGGAGGAAGGGUACAGUGUUAAUAGCACUGUACAUUGACGUUACUCGCAGAAGAAGCACCGGCUAACUCCGUGCCAGCAGCCGCGGUAAUACGGAGGGUGCAAGCGUUAAUCGGAAUUACUGGGCGUAAAGCGCACGCAGGCGGUUUGUUAAGUCAGAUGCGAAAUCCCCGAGCUUAACUUGGGAACUGCAUGUGAAACUGGCAAGCUAGAGUCUUGUAGAGGGGGGUAGAAUUCCAGGUGUAGCGGUGAAAUGCGUAGAGAUCUGGAGGAAUACCGGUGGCGAAGGCGGCCCCCUGGACAAAGACUGACGCUCAGGUGCGAAAGCGUGGGGAGCAAACAGGAUUAGAUACCCCAGUAGUC
rnacentral:rRNA from 1 species